rnacentral:SRP_RNA from 1 species
GGGGUGAUCCGUGCGACUGGAAGGUACGAACUGUGUCAGAUCCGAGAGGAAGCAGCACUAAGUUCUGGAAGGUGUGUUACGGAUCACUUUGCA